GCCGUCGUAGGCCAUGGUGACCGCCCUCCAAAUAUAUUGGACUUUCGACAACUCAUGAGGGAGACGGGGGUUCGAUUCCUCCCGACGGCA